CGUAGGGGGCGAGCGUUGUCCGGAAUCAUUGGGCGUAAAGAGCUCGUAGGCGGCUCGGUAAGUCGGGUGUGAAACCCCCAGGCUCAACCUGGGGACGCCACCCGAUACUGCUGUGGCUAGAGUCCAGUAGGGGAGUGUGGAAUUCCCGGUGUAGCGGUGAAAUGCGCAGAUAUCGGGAGGAACACCAGCGGCGAAGGCGGCACUCUGGGCUGGAACUGACGCUGAGGAGCGAAAGCGUGGGUAGCAAACAGGAUUAGAUACCCUGGUAGUCCACGCCGUAAACGUUGGGCACUAGGUGUGGGGACCCUCCAACGGUUUCCGUGCCGUAGCUAACGCAUUAAGUGCCCCGCCUGGGGAGUACGGCCGCAAGGCUA
rnacentral:rRNA from 1 species